AACGCGUGGGUAUCUGCCCUUGGGUACGGAAUAACUCAGAGAAAUUUGUGCUAAUACCGUAUAAUGUCUUCGGACCAAAGAUUUAUCGCCCAAGGAUGAGCCCGCGUAAGAUUAGCUAGUUGGUGGGGUAAAAGCCUACCAAGGCGACGAUCUUUAGCUGGUCUGAGAGGAUGAUCAGCCACACUGGGACUGAGACACGGCCCAGACUCCUACGGGAGGCAGCAGUGGGGAAUAUUGGACAAUGGGCGAAAGCCUGAUCCAGCAAUGCCGCGUGAGUGAUGAAGGCCUUAGGGUUGUAAAGCUCUUUUACCCGGGAUGAUAAUGACAGUACCGGGAGAAUAAGCUCCGGCUAACUCCGUGCCAGCAGCCGCGGUAAUACGGAGGGAGCUAGCGUUGUUCGGAAUUACUGGGCGUAAAGCGCGCGUAGGCGGUCUUUUAAGUCAGAGGUGAAAGCCCGGGGCUCAACCCCGGAAUAGCCUUUGAAACUGGAAGACUUGAAUCUUGGAGAGGUCAGUGGAAUUCCGAGUGUAGAGGUGAAAUUCGUAGAUAUUCGGAAG
rnacentral:rRNA from 1 species